UACCUGGGAACCUCAUGGGAACCCUCAAACCAGCAACCUAACACCUUCCAGCUCUGCACAAUGAAACUGUCUCCCACUCUGACAGACAACUAUUUCCUGUUGUCUGGAACACCAAAAUGGAAUUUCAAUCCCAUACACUCAAAUAAAGUUUAUGCCACAGGGGAUAAAAAAGCAGGGUGAAUUACACAGACAUUUUCAAAAGGCUGUGAGAUGACACUGCUCGCACGUAUCUGUUCUUCUCACCAUGCUCAGAUGGUUAAUGUGGAUGCUAAAGGAGAUUUAACUCCUUACCUAACCACUAAUGUCUUCCCAUGUCCCAUUCUGCCAGCCAAAUAACUGUCUUCUAGAAGAGGCAGAGUUGUGGUCCCAUUCCUCAAGGACCCUGAGAUAUCUGGAAUAGGCUAAUUUUCAUCCCUACCCACCUUUAUUAAUAUUGAUUACUGUUAUUCUGCUCCGCAGUGGCUGACUGAAUAUUCUCCCUGUGUCCAGCUGGUGAGUAUGCUUUUCCCAAAAUAGCCUGUGACCACUCUUUCCUAUAUUUGCACAAGAGAUGUACUAUUAUUAUAUUUGUAUGGAAGAAGUUAGAUGAUCCUGCAAAAAUGUUUUUCAGUGAUAUCUCUUGUCCAACUUGUAAAUUGAUUACAAUUUGAAAUGUCACACUGGAAGUGGUAUAUGACAGAAGAUCAAAGCAGGAAACGUUUUGCAGUCUCUUAGGAACCUGGCCAGAGUUGCUCUUUUUUAGACCCUCUGUUUGCCCAGAAGAAUUAACAUCUGCUCAUAGAGAAUAAUGUGCAGCUAUUGUCACUUAGUAUUCAACUUUCUUCCAAUAUUAAAGCUGAAUUAUUCAUAGCUUUAAGAACAUGGUUUUUGAGAUACUAUUCCACACCAGUGGUUGCACUGGGAAAAGAGCAGAGACCAGCCCUGAAAGUGUAACAAAGAAUGUUUUGAAUUCACAGGACAUGCAAAGCCACAAAUGCUAGCCAACCAACAUUACAUGCUUAAGGCCACAUUCAAUCAACCCAAAUUUCCUCAUGCACAAUAACGACUGUGGUGACAACUAGACUCUUGAGGAAACAGCCUUUAAAAUGCAUUUUCCUCUCCAGACAAAGGAAUUCUCACUACACAGGCACCUUACACAAGGUAGUGCUUUGUAUUUUCAGCUGCUUUUAUGUGUAGGUAUCUCAAUAAUAUCCACACAGAAGCCAAUCCUGGCUCCCAUGAUGCCAAUGGAAAAAAACCUUUUGAUUUCACUGGGAUCAUGAUUUGGUCAUAAUUGAUUAAUCCUCAUUCCAUUCCUGUGAGACAAGGGAGGAUAUAUAGAGAUCACUUCACAUACCACUGCAGCAUGGUUGUUUCUGGAAAAUAUCAGCUGUUCCAAAACAGAGAGGAACCCAGCACGCAGUUUGGAACAGGAUGCAAUGGCCAACACGAUCUCCAUCUGGAACAAUACAGGAAAUGCUGAUAGCCAGAGUGGCAUUGCUGAAAAUAGAUUUUGGCCAGCACACAGGGAUUAAGAGCCUUACUUUUCAAAAGGUGUGCUGGGACCUCUAAUAACCAUAAAUAGUCAGGACUUUGUAUUUGUGCCUCACUGGAAAGAUGGCAGCACUUGCAGUACAGUGUUUCCUCAUAUCAUGCUGACACAUUGCUUCAUUACUGGAUCAUCUGCAGCUUUCAACAGGACUGACGUGACUUCCGAGUCAAACAGAGACAAACAGCAAAGUCCUGACCCCACUGAAGUGGAAGUGAACAGUACUUGGAACCAAUGGAACAAGGAUUUCUCUCCCUGAAAUAGUUUGUGAGAUCUGGCAGCAACGUUUCCCAUCAGAUAGCAACUAUGAGAUCUUUGAUACCUUAUAUAACUGCCAUCCUUAAAUAAAACAUAUAUCUAGUUCA